AUUUAUAUAGUAUAAAAUGAGUAUAUUUAAUUUCCAAUUAAAUGGUUUAGUAUUAAUGUAAAUA
rnacentral:tRNA from 1 species